GAUGAAGAACGUAGCGAAAUGCGAUACUUGGUGUGAAUUGCAGAAUCCCGUGAACCAUCGAGUCUUUGAACGCAAGAUGCGCCCGAAGCCAUUAGGCCGAGGGCACGCCUGCCUGGGCGUCACACGUCGUUGCCCCCCCCCAUCUACUCCUUCGGGAUUGCGGGGGGCGGAUGAUGGCCUCCCGUGCGCCUCGCCGCGCGGUUGGCAUAAAUGCCGAGUCCUCGGCGACGCACGCCAUGACAAUCGGUGGUUGCGAAACCUCGGUUGCCCGUCGUGUGCGGUCGUCGCGCAUCGAGGGCUCGAAAAAAUUGCCGAGUUCCGGCUCGGCUUUCAACGCGACCCCAGGUCAGGCGGGGUUACCCGCUGAAUUUAAGCAUAUCAAUAAGCGGAGGA
rnacentral:misc_RNA from 1 species